UAUUAUUUUCUGGCUAUUUUUCACAUUUUGUAGGCUGUAUUCCAGCCCUGAUGAUGUCCACAAGUUUUUCUCCAGUUGUCUGUACCAAGAGAUGGUUUCUGUCCAUGUCUCUAUGUUUUAAAGAGCCUGACAAAUGCUGCUAGGAAAAUCUGAGGACCUCAUAAGGACAAUGAAUAUCCUAAAUUAUGUUCACUACAAAUGCAACAUUGUGAUCCGUAGAGAGCAUACAUUUCAAAUAAGACCUCAAAACGCUGCCUGAACCUACUGACCUGAUAUGCUAUUGAAAGAUAUACAUUUGCUUUUCAAGGACCCAACCUUUCUUAAAUUAGAAAAACAUACCAUUAAAAUUUUAAUUUUAAAUGUGAAAUAAAUGUGGGGUUGCUGUUCUUAAAUAUUUUUUUAAAGAAGACGGGAUAAGAAAAUUAUUAAUUGUGCAGCCCAUAGUUCCUGAACUUUAAAAUAGUUUAUAGCAUUAAAAUUUUAUUAAACAAUUUAAGUACUUGAUCAUUUUAUUAAAUCAUAUGACUACAUUUUAUCGACCCCAGAAUGGAGCCAUAGGCUUGUGUUUCCUAGCUGGCUUUACCUUCAGAAUAAAUCUGGAUUUUACCUAGAUUGCUCUCAUAACAUUUUAAUUUUACAUUGAGAACAUCUUUCAUGUAUAAUCACAAUGCACAUCUGCAGUUAGUACAUUAGUACAUUUUGUACUAUUAGUAAUGUUUUGUUUGCUAUCCUGGCUCCUUCUUUUAAGCAUAUGAGUAGCAACUAAUAUAUUUAUUUCUUAUCAAUUAACCCACUAAUAUUUCUAAUCUAAAAGCAACAUUCAAAUACAUUGCAUUAUAGAAUUUGUGAAGUAGUUUGCUUAUGAAACAUAAUCUGAAUAUGCUUCAAGUUAUUUUAAUUUAUAACAAAAAUGGGUUAUAGUAAGAUAAAUUCAUACUGUUCUUUACAUGAGUCAUACAUGACACACAUUUAUAUAUGUAUGUAAAUGCCCUCAUUAAAAUAUUGAAAUUUAUUCAUU